ensembl:snRNA U6 U6 spliceosomal RNA
UCACUUUGGCAGCACAUAUACUCAAAUUGGAAUGAUACAGAAGAGAUUAGCGUGGCCUCUGUGCAAGGAUGACACACAAAUUCAUGAAGUGUUCCAUAUUUAA